CCACUGUGCUGGGCCAGGGAUCCAACCUGUGUUCCAGUGCUCCCAAGAUGCUGCUGAUCCCAUUGCCCCAAAGUGGAAACUCCUGGAAUUCUUUGUCUAUAACUCAUUUAAUAAAUUUAAGAGCAUGCAUCAGUGAUCUUCAUCCUCAUAGAAAGUGAACAGCACCCAUUUUAUUUCCUUCACCCAGCCCCACACAGAAAUAGGAUGCCCUUUAAGAUUUUAUCUCCAGCUUUUCUUCAAUUUUAAAGAUAUUUUCCUGGGCCUAGGCUUUUUAAUUUUUCUGAAGCAAAAAUGAAUAAAUACUGUGUCUAUGGUGGAUAAAAAAAGAUAAGUAAUCUUACUAGUUUGCCAAAUAUACACUUCCAAAAAAAAAAAAGGAGGCAUUUACUGUCUUAAGUCAGGCUAAAAAUAAUAUUAUUUAAGGGUGUAUAGGUAAUUGAAGAAAUCAAGUUUUCCCUUCACUUACUAUCUGGAUAAUUGCCUAAUUUUCCCACUGUCAUCAUCCUGUCCUGCUAGUGUUGCUUUAUACACAACCUGGUCUUCCCUUUUGUUGUAUUUAUUUUUUCUUUAAGACACCCUUCAAAUAUUAAAAAAAAAAGAGAGAGGCUAUACAAUUUGCAUCAUGACUUAAAACUAUUAGAAGAUAGGAAUUCAGUAGUUGAGACAAUGCGUUUCAAAACUCCAAAAGAUAACAGGUUUAAAGAAAUUGGCAUAUGUUAGUGAUUAUGCAAUCAUUCAUUUCCCACAGAUUUCUUUUUAUAGGAAACUUUGGAAAAUCCCAGAAGAACUGACCGAGUCAUUUCAACCACAACAGGUUUCUUUCAACAUCAAAAUCAUGGGUAGGAGUGGGCGAGGAAUAAUUUUCUUUCUUUUUUUUUUUAAAGGCAUGGGCAGCCUGGUUCUGAGUGUGCAAAGCUGUGGCUUCCCCUCCUAUAGACGCCUUCUGAACAGCAAAUCUGACUUCCUCCUCAGACCAAGGCAUCCUGAAAACAUCCAAGCAGAGGAAGCAUUUUUUCACCAUGACAUGGGAAAGGGCCACAGAGAUCCAAAUGGAAACGGACAUUUCAUACCAAUGCAUUGGAUGAUAACUGGUACAUCGUCAAGGGACAGAAGUGUCAACAGGCCAAAAUGGAUUAUACUGAUGAAGAACUUGAAACCAAUACUUAACAAUAGAUGA
rnacentral:lncRNA from 1 species